UGUAUAAAUGUAUACACAUAUAAGGUACAAUGCUUGUAGUUCCAGAACUGCAGUUUCAACUGCGUUAUCCUCAUGUUUCCAUGUAAAACAUUGCAAUCAGCUCAAUCUGCUGCCUCAUUGCGUGCAGUUUGUCUGCGUAAGCUCGCCUCUGACGUGCGUUUCUCGUGAUGCCUACGUCAUGACGCUGCCAGCUGAUCGGAGUGGGAAGCCGGGUUGUGUGUGUGGACUGGGCGUGUGAAUGUGUGUGAGAUAUAGAGGGAGGGAGGACUGGGACAGACAGGAGUUGUGUAAAAAAAAAAAAAAAAAAAGUGGGGGGGGUGAGAGAAGAAGAAGAGGGGCUGAAGUCCUACGCUGCCUUCUCCGCUGCUCCGGCGAUAAAAAGCGCUCCAGAUACCAGAAAUUCAGUCAAACCUUUAGGUGGUCUCCGAGCGUAAACGUGGAGGAAACCACAGACACCGACACACCCUGCAAAAGCUCCAAGGAGGACUCCGCGGGGAGCAGUGGGCGAUGCGGAGCUCUGAACUCCGGCGGAGCGUUCGGGAUGAUCCGGGAAGCGGGCAGGAGCAGCGGCCCGGCCGGUGGUGCUGAAGGGAUGCACCUACAAUCAAAAGAUGGAAGGAGAAGGAGUCACAUUUUGUAAGAUUAAUGAGAAGGUGCGUCACCUCGGGACUGAAGGUUUGAGCUCUGUUGUUGUGCUGGCCUCAGUUGGCUGACACACAGCAGUUCUUCACUGGCGAGCUUUAUGUUCCUAUACACAUGCUAAAGCUGCCAGCUGAAGAACUGCUAUGGUCAGCCCUGCCCUGCUCAUUUCAAGAAGAGGAAGAAGAUCAGCUGGUGGGAAUGUAGCUCAGUAAUCUGGAUUUUCUAUACUGUUUUUUUAUUUUAACCAUUACUGUAUUCUGUGUUAAUCCAUUAAUUAGUUUGUUUCAUGGUAAAAUCCUGUGCAUUCCUUCAUAAAUGUUGUAAAUUAUCAGUUUUCUCCUUCCUGCAAUAAAGAACAAGAAGUCUCAUUAACUUCAGACUAAAGGCAAUAAAACCCUGCAGCAGUGAUGGAUCUCAUGUUUAAUAAUAAAACAAAAACUCACAGAAAUGCA